UGCAAGUCGAGCGGCAGCACGGGUACUUGUACCUGGUGGCGAGCGGCGGACGGGUGAGUAAUGCCUAGGAAUCUGCCUGGUAGUGGGGGAUAACGCUCGGAAACGGACGCUAAUACCGCAUACGUCCUACGGGAGAAAGCAGGGGACCUUCGGGCCUUGCGCUAUCAGAUGAGCCUAGGUCGGAUUAGCUAGUUGGUGAGGUAAUGGCUCACCAAGGCGACGAUCCGUAACUGGUCUGAGAGGAUGAUCAGUCACACUGGAACUGAGACACGGUCCAGACUCCUACGGGAGGCAGCAGUGGGGAAUAUUGGACAAUGGGCGAAAGCCUGAUCCAGCCAUGCCGCGUGUGUGAAGAAGGUCUUCGGAUUGUAAAGCACUUUAAGUUGGGAGGAAGGGCAGUUACCUAAUACGUAUCUGUUUUGACGUUACCGACAGAAUAAGCACCGGCUAACUCUGUGCCAGCAGCCGCGGUAAUACAGAGGGUGCAAGCGUUAAUCGGAAUUACUGGGCGUAAAGCGCGCGUAGGUGGUUUGUUAAGUUGAAUGUGAAAUCCCCGGGCUCAACCUGGGAACUGCAUCCAAAACUGGCAAGCUAGAGUAUGGUAGAGGGUGGUGGAAUUUCCUGUGUAGCGGUGAAAUGCUUUUAUUUAUUAAUGA
rnacentral:rRNA from 1 species